rnacentral:tRNA from 1 species
GGGGGUAUAGCUCAGUGGUAGAGCACACGCUUAGCGUGCACGAGGUCCUGGGUUCAAGCUUCAGUGCCUCCG